CUUGGUCAUUUAGAGGAAGUAAAAGUCGUAACAAGGUCUCCGUUGGUGAACCAGCGGAGGGAUCAUUACCGAGUUUACAACUCCCAAACCCCUGUGAACAUACCUUAUGUUGCCUCGGCGGAUCAGCCCGCGCCCCGAAAAACGGGACGGCCCUUUUUAUGAACCCUAAACUCUGUUUUUAGUGGAACUUCUGAGUAUUUUUUUUUUAUAAAUCAAAACUUUCAACAACGGAUCUCUUGGUUCUGGCAUCGAUGAAGAACGCAGCAAAAUGCGAUAAGUAAUGUGAAUUGCAGAAUUCAGUGAAUCAUCGAAUCUUUGAACGCACAUUGCGCCCGCCAGUAUUCUGGCGGGCAUGCCUGUUCGAGCGUCAUUUCAACCCUCAAGCCCAGCUUGGUGUUGGGAGCUGCAGUCCUGCUGCACUCCCCAAAUACAUUGGCGGUCACGUCGAGCUUCCAUAGCGUAGUAAUUUACAUAUCGUUACUGGUAAUCGUCGCGGCCACGCCGUUAAACCCCAACUUCUGAAUGUUGACCUCGGAUCAGGUAGGAAUACCCGCUGAACUUAAGCAUAUCAAUAAGCGGAGGAA
rnacentral:sRNA from 1 species